UACGUAGGGUGCAAGCGUUGUCCGGAAUUAUUGGGCGUAAAGAGCUCGUAGGCGGUUUGUCGCGUCGGCUGUGAAAACUCGGGGCUCAACCCCGAGCCUGCAGUCGAUACGGGCAGACUAGAGUGCUGUAGGGGAGACUGGAAUUCCUGGUGUAGCGGUGAAAUGCGCAGAUAUCAGGAGGAACACCCGUGGCGAAGGCGGCUCUCUGGAACGCAACUGACGCUGAGACGCGAAAGCGUGGGGAGCAAACAGG
rnacentral:rRNA from 1 species